ensembl:piRNA 21ur-15605 ncRNA
CUAGGAACAUUUUAGUCAAAU